AUCAGCGCGUGCGUGGCGUUGCACGCGCACUCAAAUGUCUUGGUGCAGCGUGCACAUGCACACUGCGCGGCGUAGCUUUACGACCUUGAAAUCAAUUCACCGAUAUAUGACACUUAUUUUGUACGUUGUUAAAGAAAUAUGCCGGAUUCUGUUAUUAAUUUAUUUUAAAAAGUUAUCGUACAACUUGUAGCUUUAGUUAUGUUUCCCUCUGUUUGUAUAGGGUGAGGGGGGGGCGCUACUUUACGGUGUAAUUUUGAUCUCGUCAGCGGUGAUUGAAACACGACCUAUUACAAACUUUUACUAAUACAUAUGUCAUGCCUUUAGAUGUGUGUUUGCCAAGCGAUCGACAAAUGCGCCUUACUGUGCGAACAACACCUGUGACUGCAGCCUUCUGAUCCUAUUGGUGCCCCGUGUUGAUGAGCCACAAGAACUCUGGCGAAAGAUAAAGGACUUUGCUGAUCAGUACAGGAAGUCUCCCCCUGGUGUCUAACAUUCCAAUAUUUGUAUAGCUCUGGUUCCAACUUCUUAAUUUGCUGCACUGGAUACAGUCUUAUGUAUUUGCAUUUCAUGUUCUUGUGUUACAUGGGAACUUAAGUCUACAAAAGACGUAUCACAUACAACCCCUGCCUUUACUGCGGCUACGUCAAUUGCAGAAAAUUAAUUUGUCUUGUCAACAUGCUUGUGUCGCAAUAUUUAUUAUGCAUAGUAACUUGCAUUUUCUACUGUAGCUGCCUAUACAAAAAUGUUCUCGUCACCUGGAGUAGGCAUUUAAAGGUGCUUUUUGAGGUCUGGGCUUGCUUACUGCGAGCUAAUGUGCCCAAAUUACUGAAAUCUGAAAAAUUUAGGUUCUUCAAAAAUAUUGCUAAACUGCUUGAAAUGUAAUUUGUGCAUCAAUAGACAAACACACAGCGACUUUACUGUUAUAAGCACUUUAUUAGCAAAACCUGAAAAUGAUACCCAACAAUAAGAUGUACAGUGCUUGGUGCCACGAAGGCUCCCUGUUUUGCAAGAUGCACAUCUGCUGAAUGUCUGAUACGAAAUUGCAUGAUAUGUACAUAGCGCAACUGUAAUAAAGGCAUACGACGAUUGGUUUUGUAA